UACGUAGGGCGCAAGCGUUUGUCCGGAAUUAUUGGGCGUAAAGAGCUCGUAGGCGGCUUGUCACGUCGGGUGUGAAAGCCCGGGGCUUAACCCCGGGUCUGCAUUCGAUACGGGCUGGCUAGAGUGUGGUAGGGGAGAUCGGAAUUCCUGGUGUAGCGGUGAAAUGCGCAGAUAUCAGGAGGAACACCGGUGGCGAAGGCGGAUCUCUGGGCCAUUACUGACGCUGAGGAGCGAAAGCGUGGGGAGCGAACAGG
rnacentral:rRNA from 1 species